rnacentral:rRNA from 1 species
AGCGAACGCUGGCGGCAGGCCUAACACAUGCAAGUCGAGCGCCGUAGCAAUACGGAGCGGCAGACGGGUGAGUAACGCGUGGGAACGUGCCCUUUAGUUCGGAAUAACCCAGGGAAACUUGGGCUAAUACCGGAUACGCCCUUCGGGGGAAAGAUUUAUCGCUGAAGGAUCGGCCCGCGUAAGAUUAGCUAGUUGGUGAGGUAACGGCUCACCAAGGCUAUGAUCUUUAGCUGUUCUGAGAGGAAGAUCAGCCACACUGGGACUGAGACACGGCCCAGACUCCUACGGGAGGCAGCAGUGGGGAAUAUUGGACAAUGGGCGCAAGCCUGAUCCAGCCAUGCCGCGUGAGUGAUGAAGGCCUUAGGGUUGUAAAGCUCUUUUACCAGGGAAGAUGAUGACGGUACCUGGAGAAUAAGCCCCGGCUAACUUCGUGCCAGCCGCCGCUGUAAGAC